rnacentral:rRNA from 1 species
CGGCGGACGGGUGAGUAACGCGUGGGUAACCUGCCUCGUACAGGGGGAUAACAGUUAGAAAUGACUGCUAAUACCGCAUAAGACCACAGCACCGCAUGGUGCAGGGGUAAAAACUCCGGUGGUAUGAGAUGGACCCGCGUCUGAUUAGCUAGUUGGUAAGGUAACGGCUUACCAAGCCGACGAUCAGUAGCCGACCUGAGAGGGUGACCGGCCACAUUGGACUGAGACACGGCCAA